CAAAGUGUAGCUUAAACAAAGCAUCUCGCUUACGCCGGGAGUAUGUCUGUGCAAUUCGGAUCAUUUUGAACCUUAAAUCUA
rnacentral:tRNA from 1 species